GAGGAAUAUUGGUCAAUGGGUGCAAGCCUGAACCAGCCAUCCCGCGUGAAGGACGACUGCCCUAUGGGUUGUAAACUUCUUUUGUAUAGGGAUAAACCUACCCUCGCGAGGGUAGCUGAAGGUACUAUACGAAUAAGCACCGGCUAACUCCGUGCCAGCAGCCGCGGUAAUACGGAGGGUGCAAGCGUUAUCCGGAUUUAUUGGGUUUAAAGGGUCCGUAGGCGGACUUAUAAGUCAGUGGUGAAAGCCUGUCGCUUAGCGAUAGAACUGCCAGUGAUACUGUAAGUCUUGAGUAUAUUUGAGGUAGCUGGAAUAAGUAGUGUAGCGGUCAAAUGCAUAGAUAUUACACAGAAUAUCGAUUGCGAAGGCAGCUCACAAAGCCAUUAUUGACGCUGAGGCACGAAAGUGUGGGGAUCAAACA
rnacentral:rRNA from 1 species